AAUAUAAUUAACUCUGUUAUUAUAAAUUAGCUUUUAUUUAAUAAUUAUAUGUAAAUUUUUGUGUGAUAUUAUUUAUCUUAAUGAUUAUAUUAUUAUUGCAGUUUUUAAUUUUGUUAUUUAAGGGAUCUUAGAUUCAGUUAAUUAUUUAGAAAUGCAAAAAGUUGUGCCAGCAUGUGCGGUUAUACUUCUGUUUCAAGUUAAUUAUAUAGAUUUUUAUUAAUUUUUGUUAGUUGAAUUUAUUAAUAAUAUUUUUAGGUGAAAUUUUAAUUUUAUUUAUUUAUUUUGGUUAUGGAUUAUAUUAAAACUGGUUAAUAGACUAGGAUUAGAUACCCUAUUAUUUCAGUUGUAAUUUACUAAAAUCUUAUUAUUAUUAGUUAUGUCUUUAAAAUAAAAGGGUUUGGCGGUAAUUUAAUCUUUUCAGAGGAAUCUGUUCUGUAAUUGAUAAUCCACGUUUUAUUUUACUUUAAUUUUGUUUGUAUACCUCUGUCAUUGAAUGUCUUAUUAGGGUAUUUUCUUGUAUUAUUAUAUAAUAUAUGUCAAGUCAAGGUGCAGCGUUGUUAAAGUUUGAAAUGGAUUACAUUUAAAGCUUAUUUAUUGGAUUAUUUGAUUUAUAUUUUUUAUGAAAUAGGAUUUGAAAGUAAAUUUGAUUAUAUAAUUAAAUUGAUUUUGGCUCUAAAUUAUGUACAUAUCGCCCGUCACUCUCAUCUUUAAAAUGGGAUAAGUCGUAACAAAGUAAUUUUAUCGGAAGAUGAGGUUGGAAUAUA
rnacentral:ncRNA from 1 species